rnacentral:lncRNA from 1 species
CUAUAAUAGCAUAUUUUAUGUUUAAUAAUUAAAUAAAAAAAGAGAAUGAGAAAAUAAAAGUACAUGCAUAUGGGUAGAGGAUGACAGACGCUGUAGGUACGGAGAGCUCAAGACCCUGAUUAAAGAAAUAAUGAAAGCACAUGAGAACAAAAUUCAAAAAACUAAAAAGAGAAUGAUAAUAUGAAAAAGAAGAGAGAAAUAAAGACAGAGAUAUAGUAAAAGAAAAAAAAAGACAGAGAUGAUGGUCCAUCUUUUCGGUGGGCCCACACUCCUAAAUUAAAAAGAUGACAGUCCAUCUUCUCGGUAGGACUUAUACGCCCAAAUGUAAAGAGAUGACUGUCCAUCUUCCAAAAAAAUAAAAAGAAGAAAAAUAAAAACAGAGGUAUAGUAAAAGAAAAAAAAUAUAAAAAGACAGAGAUGAGGGUCCAUCUUCUCGGUGGGGCCCACACUUCUAAAUUAAAGAG